rnacentral:misc_RNA from 1 species
GAAACUCUUCAGGUAAAACAACACCAAGUUAUAAUGAAAAGUUGGAUUAAGCUUUAGUUUUCAUGUAGAAAAUUUCAAUUUACAGCACAGAGACAUCCUUUUAUAGGAUCACAAGAUUCAAACAACGAGAAGAUUUCUCUUUACAAGUGCAUCCCUUCCUUUACUUCCUGAUUGAAAGAAGCUCAAAGCUCCGAAGAGGGUCAUCUCGGCUGCCCUUCGUAACUGAAGUUCGGGAGAACAGUGAUGGUUUCGGUUCAGCUCCAGAAUGAAUCCUUUGUGUGGCAGAUAAGCGACCACUGCUUGACACUAAUCUGCUGCUUGAGCGACUCUCUGUAGGUUCACCAGAAGAGCUCGGUCUGCUACUUGAAAUCGCAGCCCUUCUAGACGAGCUGCAAUUUCUUGAGGUACGGCCUCUAUCUGAAUCAGCUUGCACAUCUUUA